rnacentral:rRNA from 1 species
AUUGAACGCUGGCGGAAUGCUUUACACGUGCAAGUCGAACGGUAACAGGCCGCAAGGUGCUGACGAGUGGCGAACGGGUGAGUAAUGCAUCGGAACGUGCCCAGUCGUGGGGGAUAACUGCUCGAAAGAGCAGCUAAUACCGCAUACGAUCUAUGGAUGAAAGCGGGGGACCGUAAGGCCUCGCGCGAUUGGAGCGGCCGAUGUCAGAUUAGGUAGUUGGUGGGGUAAAGGCUCACCAAGCCAACGAUCUGUAGCUGGUCUGAGAGGACGACCAGCCACACGGGGACUGAGACACGGCCCGGACUCCUACGGGAGGCAGCAGUGGGGAAUUUUGGACAAUGGGGGCAACCCUGAUCCAGCAAUGCCGCGUGCAGGAAGAAGGCCUUCGGGUUGUAGACUGCUUUUGUACGGAACGAAACGGUCUGGGUUAAUACCCUGGGCUAAUGACGGUACCGUAAGAAUAAGCACCGGCUAACUACGUGCCAGCAGCCGCCGUAAAAC